GACGAACGCUGGCGGCGUGCUUAACACAUGCAAGUCGAACGGAAAGGCCCUGCUUGCAGGGUACUCGAGUGGCGAACGGGUGAGUAACACGUGGGUGAUCUGCCCUGCACUUCGGGAUAAGCCUGGGAAACGGGGUCUAAUACCGGAUAGGAGCCAUUCUUAGUGUGAUGGUUGGAAAGUUUUUUCGGUGUAGGAUGAGCUCGCGGCCUAUCAGCUUGUUGGUGGGGUAAUGGCCUACCAAGGCGGCGACGGGUAGCCGGCCUGAGAGGGUGGACGGCCACAUUGGGACUGAGAUGCGGCCCAGACUCCUACGGGAGGCAGCAGUGGGGAAUAUUGCACAAUGGGCGGAAGCCUGAUGCAGCGACGCCGCGUGGGGGAUGACGGCCUUCGGGUUGUAAACUCCUUUCGCUAGGGACGAAGCUUUUGUGACGGUACCUAGAUAAGAAGCACCGGCUAACUACGUG
rnacentral:rRNA from 1 species